UACGUAGGUGGCAAGCGUUGUCCGGAUUUACUGGGUGUAAAGGGCGCGUAGGCGGGAAUGCAAGUCAGAUGUGAAAACUACAGGCUUAACCUGUAGCCUGCAUUUGAAACUGUGUUUCUUGAGUGAUGGAGAGGCAGGCGGAAUUCCUAGUGUAGCGGUGAAAUGCGUAGAUAUUAGGAGGAACACCAGUGGCGAAGGCGGGUAACUGGACUGCAACUGACGCUGAGGCGCGAAAGCGUGGGGAGCAAACAGGAUUAGAUA
rnacentral:rRNA from 1 species